GCAUAACGCGAAGAACCUUACCCACCUUUGACAUGUACGGAAUCCUUUAGAGAUAGAGGAGUGCUCGAAAGAGAGCCGUAACACAGGUGCUGCAUGGCUGUCGUCAGCUCGUGUCGUGAGAUGUUGGGUUAAGUCCCGCAACGAGCGCAACCCUUGCCAUUAGUUGCUACGAAAGGGCACUCUAAUGGGACUGCCGGUGACAAACCGGAGGAAGGUGGGGAUGACGUCAAGUCCUCAUGGCCCUUAUAGGUGGGGCUACACACGUCAUACAAUGGCUGGUACAGAGGGUUGCCAACCCGCGAGGGGGAGCUAAUCCCAUAAAGCCAGUCGUAGUCCGGAUCGCAGUCUGCAACUCGACUGCGUGAAGUCGGAAUCGCUAGUAAUCGCAGAUCAGCAACGCUGCGGUGAAUACGUUCCCGGGUCUUGUACACACCG
rnacentral:rRNA from 1 species